rnacentral:rRNA from 1 species
AUGAGGUUGCUCUCCAUGGAGGGUGAUGAUGCCUCUAACAAGAGACUGAAGAAGGUCUCCAUUGUUGGAUUUGGAGGGUUGGGCAAGACCACUCUUGCUAGAGCAGUAUACGACAAGAUUAAAGGUGAUUUCGAUUGUCAGGCAUUUGUUCCGGUCGGUCAGAACUCUGACAUGAAGAAGGUUUUAAGGGAUAUCCUCAUUGAUCUCGGCAACCCUCACUUAGAUCUUGCGAUGCUGGAUGCCAAUCAACUUAUUAAAAAGCUUCAUGAAUUCCUAGAGAACAAAAGGUAUCUUGUCAUAAUUGAUGAUAUAUGA